UUCAAUGGUCGGGCCUUGGCGGGGGUGCCUUCGGGCACGCCGGUUUCCUUUUGCGCCGGUUCGCCAACCCUGUCAUGUGCCCGGCCACCCCA
rnacentral:antisense_RNA from 1 species